GAUACCCCACUAUGCUUAGCCUUAAAUUAUUUAUUACACUAAAACCGCCNAAAAANUUCGAGCGCAAGCUUAAAACUUAAAGGACUUGACGGUAUCCUAUCUGUCUAGAGGAGCCUGUUUUAUAAUCGAUAAUCCUCGUUCAACCUCACCUCUUUUAGCUAAUCAGCCUGUAUACUUCCGUCGUAAGCUUACCAUAUGAAUGUAUAAGUAGGCUAAAUAGUUUUAUCACUAAAACGUCAGGUCAAAGUGCAGCCCAUAAAGAGGGAAAAAAUGGGCUACCGUUUCUAACUUUAGAACAAACGAACUAGCACCCUAACAACUGCUAUGAAGGCGGAUUUAAAAGUAAANUGAAAAUAGAUUGUUCACUUUAAUUAUGCUCUAGGAUAUGUAC
rnacentral:rRNA from 1 species